rnacentral:rRNA from 1 species
GACGAACGCUGGCGGCGUGCCUAAUACAUGCAAGUGAAGUUCAGUGGCGGACGGGUGAGUAAUACGUGGGUAACCUGCCCUCCUUUUUGGGAUAAGCCUUGGAAACGGGGUCUAAUACCGAAUAAAGGGGGAUGGGCUCGGGGCCUAUCAGCUUGUUGGUGGGGUGAUGACCUACCAAGGCCGGGACGGGUAGCCGGCCUGAGAGGGUGAACGGCAACAUUGGGACUGAGCUAAGGCCCAGACGCGGACGGGAUGCGGCAGUGGGGGAUAUUGCACAAUGGGCGAAAGCCUGAUGCAGCGACGGCGCGUGGGGGAUGAAGGCUUUAGGGUUGUAAACCUCUUUCGCUAGCGAACGGGUAGGUGGAGAAGAAGCGCCGGCUAACGACGUGCCAGCAGCCGCGGUAAUAC